rnacentral:misc_RNA from 1 species
UUGCAGCCCGACUUGAACGGAGCUCUUUUUCUUUUUUUGCUAAAAAAGAAAGAAGCGGGAGUGGAAGGCGGAUUAAGC